rnacentral:misc_RNA from 1 species
GAUGAAGAACGCAGCGAAAUGCGAUAAGUAAUGUGAAUUGCAGAAUUCAGUGAAUCAUCGAAUCUUUGAACGCACAUUGCGCCCUCUGGUAUUCCGGGGGGCAUGCCUGUUCGAGCGUCAUUAUAACCACUCAAGCUUUCGCUUGGUAUUGGGGCUCGCGGUUCCGCGGCCCCUAAAAUCAGUGGCGGUGCCUGUCGGCUCUACGCGUAGUAAUACUCCUCGCGAUUGAGUCCGGUAGGUCUACUUGCCAGCAACCCCCAAUUUUUACUGGUUGACCUCGGAUCAGGUAGGGAUACCCGCUGAACUUAAGCAUAUCAAUAAGCGGAGGA